AGUGGCUGAAAAUAAGCGGUAGAUUGUAAAUCUAUAUAUAGAAAAUGUUCUCUUUAUCA
rnacentral:tRNA from 1 species